rnacentral:lncRNA from 1 species
AUCUGAUAACGGUAAAGAAAUAUAAAGGCAAUGAAACGUGUCUGAGGACCUCUCCAGAGAAGAUGCAUUGGGCUCUGGAAACCUGCUGCGGUCAAAGAAGAGUCACCGUCCUUUAAGUGCCAAGAAGAGCCCUUCCACCCUCUGGUGCAAGAAGACUUUGAACAAGAAUUGGAAGCUAAAGCUACCAAAGAAGUUGAAAGAAAACUAAGCAGGGAUUUAGUGCAAGAAGAGGAAGAACAGUUGAUGGAAGAAAGGAAAAAGAGAAAAGAAGACAAGAAGAAGAAGGAAGCUGCUCAAAAAAAGGUAUGUUGAACACUAAAAAAUACAAACCUGUGCUUAUGGGUUACUUUUGUUUCAUCACUAGUAACUCUGGUUUAGCUGU